rnacentral:misc_RNA from 1 species
UACAUCUCUCUUUUCCCCAAAACCAAAUUUCUGCGUCUCUCUCACAAAUUUUCUCAGCCAUGACUGCUCAAUCUCAAGAAGAAAUCUUAGCCGCUCAUCUGGAACAACAGCAGAUUGAAUCCGAGGAGCCAAUUAUUGAGGAUGAAGACGACAAUGAUGAAGACGACGACGAUGAAGAUGACAAAGAUGAUGAUGAUGUUGAAGGGGGUAGUGGUAGGUCAAAACAGAGCAGGAGCGAGAAAAAGAGUCGAAAAGCUAUGAUCAAGCUUGGAAUGAAGCCAAUCCCCAUGGUCAGCCGUGUCACUGUCAAAAAGAGCAAGAAUAUUCUAUUUGUCAUCUCAAAACCAGAUGUUUUCAAGAGCCCUGCAUCAGACACAUAUGUCAUAUUUGGUGAGGCAAAGAUUGAGGACUUGAGUUCUCAAUUGCAGUCUCAAGCUGCUGAGCAGUUCAAGGCUCCUAAUUUGAGUAAUGUGAUAUCAAAGCCAGAACCAUCAACGGUGGCUCAGGACGAUGAGGAUGUAGAUGAGACUGGUGUAGAACCCAAGGAUAUCGAGCUGGUGAUGACUCAAGCUGGUGUUUCCAGAGCAAAAUCUGUCAAGGCUCUCAAGGCUGCAAAUGGUGAUAUUGUCUCUGCCAUUAUGGAGCUUACAAACUAGAAACUCUUUACUAUGUAACUUUUUUUCUUUCUCCAAUCUCUUGAGCUGACUAUGAAUAUUAAAGGUUUCAGUUACUGCUUUUCCCAUUCAGUUUUACUGUUCUGCUUGCUAUCAUUGUAUACCAGAGACAUGCUGAGUUAUGCAAACUAAAAAAAAAAUGGAGUUGUGAGGUAAAACAUUUCUCCCUAAAAGGCGAUUCGAUAUUUAUGAUUUGCCUGUAAUAGUUG